AGCGGCGCAGCUUAGCUGGUUAGAGCGUACGGUUACCCGUAAGGUUGGGGGUUUGAUCCCUUCUGCCACUAUCA
rnacentral:tRNA from 1 species